rnacentral:sRNA from 1 species
CCGGCCAACGUGGUCGUGUGCUGAUGGAAACCACGAAGCCGGCCGCACCCACCUGACGACUGCUCACUACGUUUUGUUAGCC